CUGAAGGUUUGGUCCUGGCCUCAGUAUUAAUUUUGACUAAAUUUACACAUGCAAGUUUCAGCGUACUAGUGAAAACGCCCUAAUCAUACUAUUAUUUGUUUAGGAGUUGGUAUCAGGCAUAUACAUUGUGCAUGACCCAUGACACCUCGCUUAGCCACACCCCCAAGGGAAUUCAGCAGUGAUAAACAUUGAACAAUAAGCGCAAGCUUGAACCAGUUAUAGUCAAAAGGGUUGGUUAAUCUCGUGCCAGCCACCGCGGUUAUACGAGUAACCCACAUUAAUAUUAUACGGCAUUAAGGGUGAUUAGAAAAAACUUUAAACUCACUAAAGUUAUAAUCUUAUAAAGCUGUUAUACGCUCACAUAAGAAGAAUAAUACAUCAACGAAAGUGACUUUAACAACUUAAAGCUUCUUUGACCUCACGACAGUUAAGACACAAACUAGGAUUAGAUACCCUACUAUGCUUAACCCUAAAUAGACUUAUCCCUAUUACUUAGUCCGCCUGAGCACUACAAGCGCUAGCUUAAAACCCAAAGGACUUGGCGGUGCCCCAGACCCCCCUAGAGGAGCCUGUUCUAUAACCGAUAAUCCACGUUAAACCUUACCACUUCUUGCCAUUACCGCCUAUAUACCGCCGUCGUCAGCUCACCCCAUAAGGGUAUAAAAGUAAGCAUAACGGAACUUCUCCAAAACGUCAGGUCGAGGUGUAGCGAAUGAAGUGGAAAGAAAUGGGCUACAUUUUCUUUAAAGAAAACACGGACAAUAAAAUGAAAAAUUAUUAACAAGGUGGAUUUAGCAGUAAGAAAAACUUAGGAUAUUUUUCUGAAAUUGGCUCUGAGGCGCGCACACACCGCCCGUCACUCUCCUUAACUUCAUCUCUUUCCAUUUCAUAAAUAGUAUUAUUUCACAAGAGGAGGCAAGUCGUAACAUGGUAAGUGUACUGGAAAGUGUACUUAGAAUAAU
rnacentral:ncRNA from 1 species